rnacentral:sRNA from 1 species
GCUGGGCACGGUGGCUCAUGCCUGUAAUCCCAGCAGCUCAGGAGGCUGUGAUAGGAGGAUCACGGGUUCAAAGCCAUCUUCAGCAACAGCUAAGCAACUCAGUGAGACCCUGUCUCUA